UACGUAGGGCGCAAGCGUUGUCCGGAUUCACUGGGUGUAAAGGGUGCGCAGGCGGAUUGGCAAGUCAGGGGUGAAAUCUCACGGCUCAACCGUGAAACUGCCUUUGAUACUGCUGAUCUUGAGUUCGGGAGAGGUUGAUGGAAUUCCAGGUGUAGCGGUGAAAUGCGUAGAUAUCUGGAAGAACACCGGUGGCGAAGGCGGUCAACUGGCCCGUAACUGACGCUGAGGCACGAAAGCGUGGGGAUCAAACAGG
rnacentral:misc_RNA from 1 species